AAGAGUCCAGCAAGGAGGGCUGGGAUUCACACUGAGCACAUGUGUCUGCCUCGGCUUGGGCUGUUUUCUGGGAUGGACUACCUGAAAUUCAUCGCGUCCACUUCCAUAUGUGUGAAAGUGCAUGAGGAGGACAUGGAAUGAUGCUACAUAUCUUGCUACAAAUAUGUAUAAACAGUUGCUGUAUAUGAAUGAUCUCUUUCAACGCCCCGGCCUCAGAAGUAUAGAUUGACAAUGAGAAAAAGCAGAUGAUUGAGUACCAUGGAAUGUCAGAAAAUGAAUGAGAAUUGACAAGGGAAAUAUUGAUUUCCUAGGAACAAUAAACACUAGGCCAGGAAUAAUCAAGUGCAGAAACCCAGGCUCUCAGUGUUCCUUCUAGCACUUUCUCAGGAAUAAUCAAAUUCUGCACCAAAUUCACAAAUUUCUUCUGAAAAAUCCCACAAGAAAUUUGACCAGAAAACAGUAGAUAACACAAGGAUAGGAUGAAAACAUGAAUAACAAGGGAUGAGACAGAGAUAGAGAUGGUAACUGUGUAAGCACUCUGGGACACUUCAUGUGCGAAGGCCAUUCACCUGAAAACGCAAGCACUAGGAGAUUUAGUUAGCACAGAUUAGAGUAAAAUCUAGGAGCUUUGUAAUAUCUGCAAUACCAAAGAAACCAGGUAAUGCAAAUUCUCUACCAGAAUGUUUCUCUGUGAAUAUUCUAACAAUUGUAACAUGCAUGAAAUGAGUAUAAUCCCUAAUCCAUUUACUGACAACAGGAAUUUCUGUAAAACAGAAAUUGGAUAUGCAGGGAAAAAUACAUUGCUGUCAUAAAUUUACAAUACUCAAAACUUGAUGCCCUGGGCAUUUGCAGACAGCAUCAAAUGUGUAAUAAAAAUGGGCAUAGGAAUACAUGAAUUUUCAGGGAGAAAUGAGGACAUUUUUCAAAGUAUGUCACUUCAUGACUCUUACUUGUGACAUACAGGCUGAGUAUCGUUGUCAUUUCUACCAGCAACAGAGCAUAAAUUCCUGCUUCAGUGACAGAUGCUGUACUUUAAGUUCAAAAGGAAGAAAUACAUAAUAUAAAUGUG